AUGAUAACACAGCACUGUUUUCUUCCAGAUCCCCCCAAGAACACCUCAUUGUCAGUCAGUCCCUCUAGCUCAGUAGCAGAGGGCAGCUCUGUGACUCUGACUUGCAGCAGCAAUGCCAACCCAGCAGUGAAGAACUACACCUGGUACAGAGUUGAGGGAAGGGAGAAGGACAUUGUCGGGUCUGAAGAGGACCUCAACAUCUCCAGUGUGACCAGGCUUUCAAAUGAAAAGUACUACUGUGAGGCUCAGAAUGUCCAUGGACUGCAGACCUCUGAAGCCAUCAGUAUCGAUGUAACGUUUGCUUCAGAGAUCCUGAACACCUCUCACUGCAUCAGGAUUUCAGCUACAUCUCAGAUCAGAUGUUUCUGUGAUAGCUAUGGGAACCCUGCUCCCACACUGGUGUGGCAACUGGCUGGAGAGUCUGUCAAUCACUCCACUAACACCAUCAUCAGUGAGGAGCCAAUGGGCCGAGCAGGCCUGAGCAGCUCCCUCACCAUCCACCAAUCACAGAAAAUACAGAGUCUGGUCUGCCUCAGCUCCAACUUUAUUGCUUUUGACAGCUUCUCAUUUGACUUAACAUCAAUGAAAACAUUGGAAGGUUUCCAUCUUCCCUCUCUGUUGAUCGGGGCUGGUGUGGGGGCAGGAGUGAUGAUGCUCCUAUGUAUCCCACUGCUUCACUUCUGCAAGCAUAGGAGACCCAGGCAGUCACCAAACAAAAGACAGAAGGACACAGCAGAGUUCAUAGUGACGGAUGAGACCCUCUUUCAGGAGGAGGACAAUGUCUAUGCAAAUAAAGCCAUGCUGGAUGAGGCCCUUGGGCCCAACAGGACAGUGGACAGGGAAAUCGACGACACAGACCUCCUCCACUACGCCAACUUGAACUUCUCCAAACUCCAGGCCAAGGUGGCCGAGCGGGGGGUGGGGGAGGGAGAGAUCAGGGGAGUCGCCUCCAAAACGACAGAGUACGCAGUGAUCCGCCUGCACUCCACAGGCAGUAUCGAGGGAGGGGCUGAGAAGAAGGAGGCCAUUCCUGCUCUGGAGCAGGGGGAGCACGCUGAGGACCAUGGAGCUAAAGUCUUGGAAGAAUCCCAGGCAGGGCACGAGAGUGACGAGGAAGAAGAAGUUGCAAAGGAUUCUGCGCUGCCAGAGCUACAGGGUGUGACUAAUUAUGCCCUCAGUGUCCAGGAGUAUACAGAGGCCCCACUGGGACAGUCUGAGCAGCACAACACAGCAGAAACUGCAGUGGACGAGGUGACACUGCUUUCUGAGCCGAAAGAUUCCUCUAAUGGUGAAGAGGAGGAAACAUAUGGGAACAUAUGUCGUGGUCAGGUCAUAUCUGAAGCAAAUUGUGGACAACCUGAGUUAGAUAGGAGGAAGAGUAGGAGAGUGUAA
rnacentral:lncRNA from 1 species